AUACGUAGGUGGCGAGCGUUGUCCGGAAUUACUGGGUGUAAAGGGUGCGUAGGCGGAUUUGCAAGUCAGGUGUGAAAACUAUCGGCUUAACCGGUAGCCUGCACUUGAAACUGUAAGUCUUGAGUGGUGAAGAGGUAAGCGGAAUUCCUAGUGUAGCGGUGAAAUGCGUAGAUAUUAGGAGGAACACCAGUGGCGAAGGCGGCUUACUGGGCACUAACUGACGCUGAGGCACGAAAGCAUGGGGAGCAAACAGGAUUAGAUACCCUGGUAGUCCAUGCCGUAAACGAUGAUUACUAGGUGUAGGGGGUAUCGACCCCCCCUGUGCCGCAGUUAACACAAUAAGUAAUCCACCUGGGGAGUACGGCCGCAAGGUUGA
rnacentral:rRNA from 1 species